GGUUUCGAUCAUACCAGCACUAAUGCACCGGAUCCCAUCAGAACUCCGCAGUUAAGCGUGCUUGGGCGAGAGUAGUACUAGGAUGGGUGACCCCUUGGGAAGUCCUCGUGUUGCAACCCC
rnacentral:rRNA from 1 species